rnacentral:rRNA from 1 species
GACGAACGCUGGCGGCGUGCUUAACACAUGCAAGUCGAGCGGUAAGGCCCUUCGGGGUACACGAGCGGCGAACGGGUGAGUAACACGUGGGUGACCUUCCCUCCACUUCGGGAUAAGCCUGGGAAACUGGGUCUAAUACCGGAUAGGACCAAGUGGUGCAUGCUUCUUGGUGGAAAGUUUUUUCGGUGGGGGAUGGGCCCGCGGUCUAUCAGCUUGUUGGUGGGGUGAUGGCCUACCAAGGCGACGACGGAUAGCCGGCCUGAGAGGGUGAUCGGCCACACUGGGACUGAGACACGGGCCAGACUCCUACGGGAGGCAGCAGUGGGGAAUCUUGCGCAAUGGGCGGAAGCCUGACGCAGCAACGCCGCGUGAGGGAUGACGGCCUUCGGGUUGUAAACCUCUUUCGCGAUCGACGAAGGUCCAUCUUUCUGGUGGGCUGACGGUAGGUCGAGAAGAAGCACCGGCCAACUACGUGCCAGCCGCCGCAGUAAGAC